ACGAACGCUGGCGGCGUGCUUCACACAUGCCAGUCGAACGGUAAGGCCCUUUCGGGGGUACACGAGUGGCGAACGGGUGAGUAACACGUGGGUGAUCUGCCCUGCACUUUGGGAUAAGCCUGGGAAACUGGGUCUAAUACCGGAUAGGACUACGCGAUGCAUGUCGUGUGGUGGAAAGCUUUUGCGGUGUGGGAUGGGCCCGCGGCCUAUCAGCUUGUUGGUGGGGUGAUGGCCUACCAAGGCGACGACGGGUAGCCGGCCUGUGAGGGUGUCCGGCCACACUGGGACUGAGAUACGGCCCAGACUCCUACGGGAGGCAGCAGUGGGGAAUAUUGCACAAUGGGCGCAAGCCUGAUGCAGCGACGCCGCGUGGGGGAUGACGGCCUUCGGGUUGUAAACCCCUUUCAGCACAGACGAAGCGUAAGUGACGGUAUGUGCAGAAGAAGCACCGGCCAACUACGUG
rnacentral:rRNA from 1 species